GCCUGUGGGCUCUCUUCUGUCAGGUGCUGCCUGAAUGAUGACUUGGAUCCUGUUUCCUUUGAAAGGACUGAUGACAUUGGAGGGCUUUGGAGGUAACAGAUCAGUUGAACUUGAACCACUAUCUUUCUGAAUUCCACCUCCAACAUUUUCUCCACUGUGGUGUCAAUGGAGUCUGCAAUUGUGGUAUUCUAUGUUGUUAGAAAGUCUACCUCUUGAAGCUUUCCAAUUAAAUCUCCCUGCUAUUACUUGGGGCAGUGUCUCUCCUGUUUCUUGAACCUGAGGAGAAAUACAGUUGAGGUUCCUGUGCUCAUAAGGACUGGAGGUGCUCCCUGUACUCAGCUGCUCUGUGAUGAGUCCUGAUGACAUCUGAAGACCCUGUGCUUAUGAAGAAUGGAAG